rnacentral:lncRNA from 10 species
ACAUGAGAUGCUCUCUUCAGUCCGGGGCUUGGUUGAACGGACUCACCAGGAAACGUGACUUUCGUGUCCGACCUCUGCUGUAUCAGGAUUCGAUUCUUGGUGUUAAACAAGACAACGCUGAAGGCUCGGUGCAGCAGCCCUGCAAAGGUUUUUCCAGCGCUCUUGGGAGGUGGGCUGUGCCACUGCCUGGCCCACCUGGCCCACCUGGCCCACCAUUACCUGAAGGGAAGCAUGAACAGCCUUUGACGUGGGAGUGGCGACUGCUGAGAGGGAACUGUCUGUACACAAGCAAUGUAGCCUUAUGGGACCUGAGUGGAGCCCCAACCCACGCAGGGCGUGUCUUCAUGGCUUUUCCUGGCCAAUCUGAUACCAAGAUGCAGUGGCCAGAAGUACCUGCACUUCCACUCCUGUCAAGUCUCUGCAUGGCUAUGGUGAGGAAGAGCUCUGCACUGGGCAAGGAAGUUGGCCGUCGAGUGAAGGAAAUGGUGAUGCUGGUGGCCCCUUUCCGGCAGUCAAGUUCCCUAUCAAGGACAUUCAGUUCUCGGAAAGUGGUGAAGGCACAUGCUUCCCUGCAUGGUGCCCGCCUCUCUCCACUCUCUAGAAAUAUUAGAGGCUAGGCUGCUGCUGUAUGUCAGGGCUAGUCCCUCUUCUAUGAAUCCAGAAUAACUCUGAAGAAGCCGAGUAACAGGCAUGAAGUGAAGAGAAAUCGCUGUAACAGGAAGACAGCAAAGCAGAUGCUAAUGACCACACUAUUUAACGAACUGGAACCAACGAGAAAAUACGGUAUUACUGAAGACUGCACUUCCUUGAACAGAGUGCUCUUCUCAGCAAAUCGGAAAUGCCUACACAAAUCGCUUUACAAGAAAGACUGUUUCAAAGCAGCACCUUUCUCAAUGUUCUCGUUCAGGUGACAAUUCUUCUUGGUCUCAGCUCCAAUUUUAUUGUCAUUUUCAUCAAUAAGGAUACACAUCUCUGCCAGGAGUUGAACCUGUUGCUUGUCGAGGUGGUUAGUGUUUAUUUCAGGCAUCAUUACAAAAUGUCUGAUCUGUUCUAGAACACUAAUAUUAAAGGAAAAGAGAAAGAAAGGC